UGUUUCUACUGAUACCGAUCGGAG
rnacentral:siRNA from 1 species